rnacentral:rRNA from 1 species
UACGUAGGGUCCGAGCGUUGUCCGGAAUUAUUGGGCGUAAAGAGCUCGUAGGCGGCUUGUCACGUCGGGUGUGAAAGCCCGGGGCUUAACCCCGGGUCUGCAUUCGAUACGGGCUAGCUAGAGUGUGGUAGGGGAGAUCGGAAUUCCUGGUGUAGCGGUGAAAUGCGCAGAUAUCGGGAGGAACACCGGUGGCGAAGGCGGUGGUCUGGGCCGGCACUGACGCUGAGGAGCGAAAGCGUGGGGAGCAAACAGG